AAAAAAAAAAAAAAAGAAAAGCCAAACGAAAAAGCCUAGUACGACAGUUAUGCUCCCAAAUUUCGCCUAAACAGCGCCCCCACAGUCCACACCCGCCCUCGUUGGUGAUCGGUAACGGUCAUUUUUCCGGUCAAUUUCUUUUCUCUUUAAAGAGUUGAUUAGAAAGUUGCUUCUUCCCCUUGCAAAUUACACUUUAUCGCUUACAAAUCUCUCCCUGUGCAACUCCCUCUCUUUUCUCUUUUUAAAUUGUACUUAAGGAGGGGUUUAUGGUGAUAAACAGGCACUAAGUGAAUGUUAGGGUUUUGGGACAGUGGCCUUGAAGAAUGAUAUGUGAAGUGAUUUUUCAAUUUUGGUUUCAAUAAUGGUGGCUGCGGUUUCCACUACAAUAAAUCCCAAAACGACACCGGCGGCGGCAGCAGCCACGCGAAACCACAACCCAACAAGGCCUCCUCUGUUGCCAUCGGACCCCGACAAUGCUCUCGCUCCUCGCCGCCCCAAAUCCCGCGAAGUUACUUCUCGGUACAUGUCUUCUUCUUCCUCCUCUUCUUCAUCAUCUUCACUUACUAUUCCUUCUUGGCAUGAUAACCCAGAUCAACUUCCAGAAUCGUGGAGCCAACUCCUCAUGGGUGGAUUGGUGGACGAAGAUAAUAAGGGAAACAUAAACCAUUUUCAAGCUAAAAAGUUGGAGAAUUGGGAGGAGCAAAUGCUACAUCAUCAAGCUUCAAGUGCCCCAGCUAUUGUGGAUGUGAAGCAAGAAAACUCUGCAAGCAGCUAUGUCUAUGGACAUGCAAAUGAAGAUUUCCAGGCAGCAAAACCUAGUUGGUCUCAGAUAAUUCCUCCUGCUUCUUCCCCCAAGUCCUGUGUUACAAGUUUCAGUAGUAACAUGUUAGAUUUUUCUACCAACAAAGGAGAUGGCAGGCAUCCACCACCAGAUCGAUCCUCUGAGUGCAACAGCACUGCAACUGGUGGGGCACUAAAGAAAGCUAGGGUUCAACCUUCUUCAACCCAAUCUACCUUUAAGGUGAGGAAAGAGAAAUUAGGUGACAGAAUCACUGCCCUUCACCAGCUAGUGUCUCCAUUUGGGAAGACUGACACAGCCUCUGUCUUGUUAGAAGCUAUAGGGUACAUCAGAUUCCUUCAGAGCCAAAUUGAGGCUCUCAGCUUACCGUACUUGGGCAAUGGAUCCUCAAAUAUGAGGCAGCAGCAGCAACAAUCUGUAAGGAAUUCUCUUUCUAUUUAGUCUUAUUCAUAUAAAAUCCAUUGUUUCUCAAUUCCCAAAACAGAAACACUCUCUCAUGUGCAUGUGGAUAUGUGUUUGCAUGUGCAUGAGAAUAUUUGUGAAUUAUUUUGGCAUUAAUUGAUUUAAUGAUUAUUAAUGUAAUUUCUUGGUAGGUUCAAGGAGAAAGGAAUUGUAUAUUUCCUGAGGACCCAGGUCAGGUAUGUGCUUUAUUGGAUCUGUUAAAUUACCUCCUUAAAGGGGUUUGGGGAACUUGAAUUUGAAAAUAAAAAAAAAAUCUCUGUAUAAAUUAGGAGCUUAAUUACUGUGAUUUUUUUAACCUAAAAGGAUGAAUGUUUUCAGCUUUAUGGAUGAUUGAAGACUGUCUUAGUUUGAAUUUCAAAUUGUUGAAAUUUAACAAAGUGAAAUUCCUAACUUUUUUAUUGUUGUUUCUUUGACUAGUUGUUGAAUGAUAACUGUGUAAAGAGGAAAGGAGCUUCUGAGCAGCAGGUACUUCUUGUCUAAAUAUAAAAAAACCAUCAUUUCUUUCUUUCUUCUUCUUUUUGAACUUCUCUCUUUCAUUGCUAUCUCAUUAUUACUUCUUUGUUUAAUUAAUUACUACUACUUCAGCAAAUGAAAUCUAAUUGAUAAUUGUCUUUCCCUCCGCUAUAGGACUACAAUGAAGAACCCAAGAAGGACUUGAGGAGUAGAGGGUUGUGUCUGGUUCCUGUGUCGUGCACUCUGCAGGUGGGAAGCGAUAACGGAGCGGACUAUUGGGCUCCAGCCCUCGGAGGGGGUUUCCGAUAGAAAGGAAUAUUCCGGUGAAUGGUAGCACACAAAGAGCUUCAUCAAACGAUAUAACAUCAUGAGCAGUCACUCUGCAGCAAUCUAAGGCUGAUUGCUCAUGAUGCUAUGCAUUCUAAAGAUUGGAAGGUGCCCAAAUUAUCGUUCAUUGUACCCUUUAACUUAAUUAAGAUAAUGAUCUUGUAUCUGUUGAUUUUUCCUUAAUUUCUCUAUCUUAUAGAGCUUCAUGUGUGUGAAGCUUUUCGAUUGAUUAGUACGUAGUUUUGUUAAUUGCAAGAUGCUUAUCCAGGAGUGUUAGCAUUCUUUCUUCUCCUAUUAGCAAAGGAAAGAAUGUAUCUCCAUCUUUCUCUCAAUUGUAACUGGCCUUUUGCUUAUAAAAAAAAAAGGUAAAAAAAAU
rnacentral:misc_RNA from 1 species